UGCCAGCAGCCGCGGUAAUACGGAGGGAGCUAGCGUUGUUCGGAAUUACUGGGCGUAAAGGGCAUGUAGGCGGCGAUGCGCGUCAGAGGUGAAAUCCCAGGGCUCAACCCUGGAACUGCCUUUGAUACGGCAUUGCUAGAAUACCAGAGAGGUUAAUGGAAUUCCAAGUGUAGAGGUGAAAUUCGUAGAUAUUUGGAAGAACACCAGUGGCGAAGGCGAUUAACUGGCUGGCUAUUGACGCUGAGGUGCGAAAGCGUGGGGAGCGAACGGGAUUAGAUA
rnacentral:rRNA from 1 species